rnacentral:rRNA from 1 species
UACAGAGGGUGCGAGCGUUAAUCGGAAUUACUGGGCGUAAAGCGUGCGUAGGCGGUUGCUUAAGUCAGAUGUGAAAGCCCUGGGCUCAACCUGGGAAUGGCAUUUGAAACUGGGCAGCUAGAGUGUGAUAGAGGAUGGCGGAAUUCCCGGUGUAGCGGUGAAAUGCGUAGAGAUCGGGAGGAACAUCCGUGGCGAAGGCGGCCAUCUGGAUCAACACUGACGCUGAGGCACGAAAGCGUGGGAGCAAACAGG